rnacentral:rRNA from 1 species
GACGAACGCUGGCGGCGUGCUUAACACAUGCAAGUCGAACGGAGUGCCUAAGAAAGAGGAUUCGUCCAAUGGAUUAGGUUACUUAGUGGCGGACUGGUGAGUAACGCGUGAGGAACCUGCCUUCCAGAGGGGGACAACAGUUGGAAACGACUGCUAAUACCGCAUGAUACGUCGAAGCCGCAUGACUUUGACGUCAAAGAUUUAUCGCUGGAAGAUGGCCUCGCGUCUGAGUAGCUAGUUGGUGGGGUAACGGCCCACCAAGGCGACGAUCAGUAGCCGGACUGAGAGGUUGGCCGGCCACAUUGGGACUGAGAUACGGCCCAG